GAUGAACGCUGGCGGCGUGCCUAAUACAUGCAAGUCGAGCGAUCAGACGAGGGCCUGCCUCCUCGGACGUUAUCGGCACACGUGUGUGUAACGCGGGGAUAACCUACCUAUAAGGCUGGGAUAACUUCGAAAAACCAGCGCUAAUACCGUGUAAUCAGUUAUACCGCGUUAAUCAAUAAUGAAAGGCAACUUUUCUAUUACUUAUAGAUCGAUCCUCGCCGAAUUGGCUAGUUGGGAAGGUAACGGCUUACAAAGGCGACGCUCAGUAGCCGACCUGAGAGGGUGACCGGCAAAACUGGACUGGAGCACCGGCCCAGCCUCCUACGGGAGGAAGAAGUAGGGAAUCUCGCGAAAUGGGCGAAAGCUUACCGGGGCAACGCGGCGUGAGUGAUGAAGUUCUUGGGACCGUAAACCUCGGUUAUUAGGGAAAAACAAAUGUGUAAGUGAAUAUGCACGUUUUGACGGUACCUAAUCAGAAAGCCACGGCUAACUACGUG
rnacentral:rRNA from 1 species